rnacentral:rRNA from 1 species
AGGCCGCUGCUAUCCGGCUGGGACUAAGCCAUGCGAGUCAAGGGGCUUGUAUCCCUUCGGGGAUGCAGGCACCGGCGGACGGCUCAGUAACACGUGGACAACCUGCCCUCGGGUGGGGGAUAACCCCGGGAAACUGGGGCUAAUCCCCCAUAGGUGAUGGGUGCUGGAAUGCCCCAUCACCGAAAGCGCAGCGCCCGAGGAUGGGUCUGCGGCGGAUUAGGUAGUUGGCGGGGUAACGGCCCGCCAAGCCGAAGAUCCGUACGGGCCAUGAGAGUGGGAGCCCGGAGAUGGACCCUGAGACACGGGUCCAGGCCCUACGGGGCGCAGCAGGCGCGAAACCUCCGCAAUGCGGGAAACCGCGACGGGGCUAGCCGGAGUGCCGAUGCCUCGCAUCGGCUGUCGGGGAGCCUAAAAAGCUCCCCACAGCAAGGGCCGGGCAAGGCCGGUGGCAGCCGCCGCGGUAAUACCGGCGGCCCGAGUGGCGGCCACUAUUAUUGGGCCUAAAGCGUCCGUAGCCGGUCUGGCAAGUCCCCCGGGAAAUCUGGCGGCUUAACCGUCAGGCUGCCGGGGGAUACUGCCAGACUAGGGACCGGGAGAGGCCGGGGGUAUUCCCGGGGUAGGGGUGAAAUCCUGUAAUCCCGGGAGGACCACCUGUGGCGAAGGCGCCCGGCUGGAACGGGUCCGACGGUGAGGGACGAAGGCCUGGGGAGCGAACCGGAUUAGAUACCCGGGUAGUCCAGGCUGUAAACGAUGCGGGCUAGGUGUCGCGACAGCCACGAGCUGUCGCGGUGCCGGAGGGAAGCCGUUAAGCCCGCCGCCUGGGAAGUACGGCCGCAAGGCUGAAACUUAAAGGAAUUGGCGGGGGAGCUCUACAAGGGGUGGAGCGUGCGGUUUAAUUGGAUUCAACGCCGGGAACCUCACCGGGGCCGACGCCAGGAUGAAGGCCAGGCUGAAGGUCUCGCCGGACACGCCGAGAGGAGGUGCAUGGCCGCCGUCAGCUCGUACCGUGAGGCGUCCACUUAAGUGUGGUAACGAGCGAGACCCGUGCCCCCAGUUGCCAGUCCUUCCCGCUGGGAAGGAGGCACUCUGGGGGGACCGCCGGCGAUAAGCCGGAGGAAGGAGCGGGCGACGGUAGGUCAGUAUGCCCCGAAACCCCCGGGCUACACGCGCGCUACAAUGGAAUC